UCAAGGUUGGGAAGAGGUUGUGUUGGUGGUGGUGGAAAUGAAGCUUGUUCAUCACCACUUCCGGGCGAAGCCGAAUCCUUCGAAAGUUCUGCUAUCAUUUCUUCAUAUGCUUCAUCUAUCGCCGGUUGUGAUUCUGCAAUGCCAAAGUUUCUUCUUUCCGAGCGGAUCCAAUCUCUAAAAAGCACCGAUUUUUUCAAGCUCUCCCUCAUCGCUGCUCUAUGAUCACCGAUUUGUAGUCUUGCUUGACUGAAAGCG
rnacentral:lncRNA from 1 species